AAUCACCCGGGCAUCGCGACGAUCUUCGAGGCGGGCCGCACCGACGACGGCCAGCACUUCCUGGUCAUGGAACUCGUGGAAGGCGCGCCCCUCGACGAGCACGUCCGCGACCGGAGGCUGGGCUUGAGGGACCGCCUGGAGUUGUUCUGCACGGU
rnacentral:rRNA from 1 species